UUCCUCCACCCACCGCCCACAGCGCCCCAGAAGGACCUAUUACUCGUUUGGCUUCUGAAGGCCGAAGCCAGGCUCUGGCGGGGAUAGAACCCUGAAGGGCCUGCGCCAGCUCCAACUUAGGGCCCUGUGCGUCGUUGCGACUUCUGCUACCACCCUAUCACGCGGCACCCCCGCCCCAACUCCGCCCGGGUCUCUGAAGAGGCAAUAGGCCUUUCAUCUCCGGGGAAAGUCUCACCUUGGCCCUCAGACACCCGCCAAGAGGGGUCGGAAGGACAGAAUUAGCAUAGAGAAGAGUGGCUAGAGCACUUUUCAGGCUCUGGCCCCAGGAAUCCUUGACAGGAAGCGUGGGGUUGCUGCCCAGCCUCCCACGCAGUGUAAUAUGUUGAAGCCGGGCCCCUUUGAGGGAAUGCGACUUCCUUGGGCCGAGGGGGAAAGGGCAGUGCCUGAUGGCUGAGAAGAAUCGCAGAGGACUAGAAAAGGUUUGAGUCUGAAAUUAUCUGGCACAGAGGAUUAAAGCUCAGAAAUAAGUGAUUGCGAAACAGUUCAACUUCCCUGUUAAUGACAACAACAACAGCAACACGCUUAUUAAUUCCUAGCUGGAGCAUCAAGCUUAUGAAGAUUUCCAAGACUUUAUUGUUGACCCUUGUUGAAGAGAACUCUACUUGGCUUCUUUCCUGGCUUUCCUAAAUUGUUCACAUACAAGAUAAACUACCGUCAUUCAGACUUACAGAAGUGAGAAGACAAGCUGAACCAAAUGUAAAAUGGUAGCAAUUUACAGAUGUCAGAACUAACAUGUGGAUGAACUUAGAGAUGGAGAAGAAAGCUGGGCUUUUCCAAAGAGUGGAUCUAUCUGAACUGGAUAGCACUAUUGAACUUUGUUGCAUAUUUUGUGGUAGCUCUAAAACUCCUCUGCUUGCUUACAUACAACCAGACACCAGUGCCUUCUGAAGCUAAUCCAGGCCAUUUUUAUAACCUAAUGCAGUAGCACUUUGCAAUUAGAUGAAGAAGAUCGGUGGGAUUUCUUUCUGUGGUGAUUAAAAUGUGUCAGGGGAAGAAAUCAAGACAAUACUCCAAGUGAAAAAUAUAAAGUCAGUUAUUUCUUUAAUAUUUUGUGUUAUAGUAAUCAUUUUUAUAUUUUGAGCAUACUUUUUCUUGUCUACUUAAAUACUCAAAAUUAAUUAUAAAAUGUAAAUGUAAGCACAAUGAGAUACCAUCUCAUCCCAGUUAAAAUGGCUUUUAUCAAAAAGAUAGGGAAUAAUGAAUACUGGUGGAAGGAUGUGGAGAAUGGGGAACCCUCGUACACUGUCAAUGAGAAUGUAAAUUAGUACAGCCACUAUGGAAAACUGUAUGGAAGUGCCUCCGAAAACAAAGUAGAACUACCAUGUGAUCCAGCAAUUACACUAGUGGGUAUAUAUUCAAAAGAAAGGAAAUCAACAUAUUAAAGAGAUAGCUGCAUUCUCAUGUUUAUUGAAGUCCUGUUGAAAUAGCCAAAAUAUGGAAUCAACCUAAGUGCCCAUCAGUGGAUGAAUGGUUAAAGAAAAUGUGAUUGAUAUGCAAUGGAAUAUUAUUCAGCCAUAAAAAAGAAUGAAAUCCUGGCGGGGCACAGUGGCUCAUGCAAGUAAUCCCAGCACUGACCUCAUGAAGACAGAGAGUAGAUUGGUGGUUACCAGAGGUUGAGAAGGGGAGAGGAGAGGAGGGAUGAAGAGAGGUUGAUUGAUGGAUAGAAAUAUACAGUUUGAUAAUGAUAAAUCAGUAGGGUGACUAUAGUUUAUAAUAACCUAUUGUAUGGUUCAAAAUAGCUAAAAGAGAAUAAUUGAAAUAACGUAAGACAAAAAUUUAAGAUGAUAGAUAUCCCAAUUACACUGAUUUGAUCUUUACAAAUUAUAUGAAUGUAUUAAAUUAUUACAUGUAUCCCCAAAAUAUGUACAAGUAUUUUGUAUCAAUAAAAAAUAAAAUUUAAGAUAAAGUAAAUGUAAUGAUUAGCUUAUAUUUCCUAGAUCGGAAAUAAAUAUUUACUUAAGUAUGUUUAUGAUGAAGAGUUUUUUUAUAUUACUAUAAAAAUAGACACCUUACAUAAACAUAUUACAGUUGGUGUUUAGAUGGCUCUUUUUUUUCUGGCCUUGAAUUUCUGGAAAGUAGGUAUGGCCUGCUAUGUCAGGACUAGUUCUUGGAAUUCUUUGUUGUUUUUCAGUCAGCCUUAUUUUCUUGGGUCAUGUUUUGAACAAUAUUUAUCAAAUGUCUGUUUACCAGACGUUGUUCCAGAUGCUUGAACAAAAUGAAAUGUCUGCUGUCAUAGAGUUUCCAGUCUAUGUAAGACAGUAAACAAAUGUAUAAUAUAAUGCUAGAUAGUGAUAAGUGCUAAAAAGAAGAAGAAAAUAGGAAAGGGGAAAGAGAGUUUCUGUGUGAUUGUAUGUGAAAGUGUCCAUGCAUGCCGCUCACCCAGUAUUUUAAAUAGAGUGAUCAAGGAAGCCUGUCUGAAGAAGUAACAUUUGAACAGAGAUCUGAAAUAGUCAGUCACGGGAACAUUUAGGGAGAUGUUCCAGGCAGGCAUUGUGGACAAUUUAUGUCACAAAAAAGUCACCCAAGUGUUAAGUCAAGUAACAUCCUGUAUGAUAACUAUAUAUACAUUUUUUUGUUUUUUCUUAAGUGAAAAACAAACUUAUUAGGUUUUCUGGGUACUCAUUAGGUUUUCAGAAAAGUUUUUCAUUUAAUAUCAUUAU
rnacentral:lncRNA from 1 species